rnacentral:rRNA from 1 species
AAAAGCUAUUAAGGGCACACGGAGGAUGCCUAGGCAACAAAAGCCGAUGAAGGACGUGAUAAGCUGCGAAAAGCUUGGUGGAGGUGCACAUAACCUUUGAUACCAAGAUCUCCGAAUGGGAAAACCUAUAUGUGUAGAUCACAUAUACGAAAGAGGUAAGUCCGUGAACUGAAACAUCUAAGUAACGGGAGGAAAAGAAAGUAAAAACGAUUCUCUAAGUAGCGGCGAGCGAACGGAGAAUAGCCUAAACUAUAUACAUGUAAGUUGGCGACGUUGUGUAUAUGGGGUAGAGGGACUUUAAUAGACUAAUAGCCAUAAAGUCAUUUUACUAGUAGAGUAAGUGGAACACAGCUGGGAAGCUGGACCAAAGAAGGUGAUAGUCCUGUAGAACAUAAAACUAUUAGUAAAAUUUAAAGCACCCGAGUAGCAUCAAGCACGAGGAAUUUGGUGUGAAUCAGCGUGGACCAUAUCACGUAAGGCUAAAUACUUUUGUUGACCGAUAGAGAAGAGUACCGUGAGGGAAAGGUGAAAAGAACCCUGAGUAAGGGAGUGAAAUAGAAUUUGAAACCGUGUGCUUACAAACGGUAGGAGCUCGCAAGAGUGACUGCGUGGAUUUUGGUUAAUCAUCCUGCGAGUUAUGAUAUAUGGCAAGGUUAAAAAGAAUGGAGCCGAAGGGAAACCGAGUCUUAAUAGGGCGACAAGUCGUAUGUCAUAGACGCGAAACCUAGUGAUCUAGGCCUGUCCAGGUUGAAGCUAAGGUAAGACUUAGUGGAGGACCGAACUCACCGCCGUUGAAAAGUUGGGAGAUGAGAUAGGUCUAGGGGUGAAAAGCCAAUCGAACUAGGAGAUAGCUCGUUCUCUCCGAAAUGCAUUUAGGUGCAGCCUUAAUUUUAAGAUAUGUGGGGGUAGAGCACUGUAUGAUCUAGGGGGCGUAUUGCUUACCGAAAUCAAGCAAACUACGAAUACCAUAUAUUAAUGAUUAGGAGUGAGUCUAUGGAUGAUAAGGUCCGUGGACAAAAGGGGAACAGCCCAGACCACCAGCUAAGGUCCCUAAUUAUGUCUAAGUGGGAAAGGAGGUGGAUAUUCACAGACAACCAGGAGGUUGGCUUAGAAGCAGCCAUACCUUAAAAGAGUGCGUAAUAGCUCACUGGUCGAGAGUAUCUGCGCCGAAGAUGUAACGGGGCUAAGACAUAAACCGAAGCUGUGGAAGAUGCUUUGCAUCUUGGUAGGAGAGCGUUCUGUAAGCCGAUGAAGGCAGGCUGUAAGGCCUGCUGGAGGUAUCAGAAGUGAGAAUGCAGGAAUGAGUAGCGAGAAGGCGGGUGAGAAUCCCGCCGGCCGGAAGUCCAAGGUUUCCAGGGGAAGGUUUGUCCGCCCUGGGGAAGUCGGGACCUAAGCCGAGGCUAAGUAGCGCAGGCGAAUGGAAAAUAGGUUAAUAUUCCUAUACCACUUAAUUAACGUUUUUACUGAUGGAGUGACGCAGGAAGGUAUGUGAGAAGGCUGACGGUUUAGCCUUUCUAAGGAAAUAGCGUGAGCAUAUAGGUAAAUCCGUAUGCUUAAACGUGAGAACUGAUGGGUAAGCACCUCUUGGUGUAAGUCACAAAUCCUACACUGCCAAGAAAAACUUCUAAGGAGGAAAUUAAGUGCCCGUACUGUAAACCGACACAGGUGGACAGAGUGAGAAACUUAAGGCCGACAGGCUAACUCUAGCUAAGGAACUCUGCAAAAUAGCCCCGUAACUUCGGGAGAAGGGGUACCUAUGAAAGUGAGUAAAGAGACAUUACAAGCAAGAGUAGGUCGCAGUGAAGAGUCCCAAGCAACUGUUUACCAAAAACACAGGUCUAUGCUAAGCCGGAAGGCGACGUAUAUGGGCUGACACCUGCCCAGUGCUGGAAGGUUAAGAGGAGGAUUGAGAGAUUCGAAUUGAAGCCCCAGUGAACGGCGGCCGUAACUAUAACGGUCCUAAGGUAGCGAAAUUCCUUGUCGGGUAAGUUCCGACCUGCACGAAUGGUGAAAUGAUUUGAGAGCUGUCUUGGCUGGAGGCCUGGUGAAGUUGUAAUGUCGGUGAAGAUACCGACUACCUGCAGUAGGACGGAAAGACCCCGUGGAGCUUUACUGUAGCUUGGCAUUGGGUUUUGGCAAUGUGUGUAUAGGAUAGUUGGGAGACUAUGAAGUAAUGGCGUCAGUUGUUACAGAGUCGCUGUUGGAAUACCAACCAUAUGUUGUUGAAAUUCUAAUCUGGUAUCGGAGACAGUGCUAGGUGGGCAGUUUGACUGGGGCGGUCGCCUCCAAAAGAGUAACGGAGGCGUUCAAAGGUUCCCUCAGGUUGGAUGGAAAUCAACCUAAGAGUGCAAACGCAUAAGGGAGCUUGACUGCGAGACUGACGGGUCGAGCAGGUACGAAAGUAGGAGUUAGUGAUCCGGUGGUUCCGUAUGGAAGGGCCAUCGCUCAACGGAUAAAAGCUA